AACAAUUCUGGAUGGAUUAUCAUUAGUAGUGUUUUUCUCCUGUUGUCAAAGUAACCUAGAAAUCAACAAAACUAGAAUAACAAGAAAAAUAUCUGAACAUAUGAACUGGAGGAAUUUCGAUAAAUGUUUUGAUUAAAAUACCACAGGGCAAAAAUUUCGCAUUUUUUAAGAUGUUGCAUGGGAUAAUUGGAGUAUUCACCUAACUAGUAAAGUGUUUUGAAAAAUUAAAAACCCGUACAAACAAUUGG